GGGGGUAUGGCUCAGUUGGUAGAGCGACUGGUUCGCAAUCAGUAGGUCGCCGGUUCGAUCCCGGCUAUCUCCA
rnacentral:tRNA from 2 species